rnacentral:rRNA from 1 species
GAUCAUGGCUCAGGACGAACGUUGGCGGCGUGCCUAAUACAUGCAAGUAGAACGCUGAAGGAGGAGCUUGCUUCUCUGGAUGAGUUGCGAACGGGUGAGUAACGCGUAGGUAACCUGCCUGGUAGCGGGGGAUAACUAUUGGAAACGAUAGCUAAUACCGCAUAACAGUAGAUGUUGCAUGACAUUUGCUUAAAAGGUGCAAUUGCAUCACUACCAGAUGGACCUGCGUUG